GUAGGUGUAGCACAAUGGUUCAGUGCUCCAGCCUUCCAAGCUGGAGAUGAGGGUUCGAUUCCCUUCACCUACUCA
rnacentral:tRNA from 1 species